CGGCGGACGGGUGAGUAACGCGUGGAUAACCUGCCUCACACAGGGGAGUAACAGUUAGAAAUGACUGCUAAUACCGCAUAAGCGCACGGUACCGCAUGGUACAGUGUGAAAAACUCCGGUGGUGUGAGGUGGAUCCGCGUCUGAUUAGGUAGUUGGUGAGGUAACGGCCCACCAAGCCGACGAUCAGUAGCCGACCUGAGAGGGUGACCGGCCACAUUGGGACUGAGACACGGCCCAA
rnacentral:rRNA from 1 species